rnacentral:lncRNA from 1 species
GGAGCUAAACCUUAAAAUAUAGCCACCUGAUAGUUGGUAUAAACAUAUUGUUACGGACAUGCACAACCAUCUAACCCUUUUGUCGUUUCAUAAAAAAACAAGAACAAAUAAAUGUGCUUACCCCUGUUAGAUUGCAAAGUUUCCCUUUCAAACUGGAAGAGUUCAUGCUUGAUUCCAACCUCUGCAAUUCAGCUUCAAGCUUUCUGUUUCGAUUUCACAUAAAGAUUUCUACUCAGCCUCCUCAUGGAAUUAAAAUGGAUUGAUUGGAAACUGGAAACGAUUUCCUGUAAAAUAAUAAAUGAUUGACUAAAACCCUAAUUAUCACAAAAUGGGUGUGGGAGAGUCUCAAUGGGAGUCUAUGAUGCCUCCGACAACGGUUUAUAAUGAUUUUAUUGCAAAUGAAUUACAUUACAUUACAUAUAUUAAGAAGAAAACACAUUCUUAGACAUUAAAAAUCAUGAAUGACGGGAAUUUUACAUCUUUCCUAAUUAAAAGAUCAUUUUUUCUUGAAUUGUAAAUCUUUCCUAAAUAAUGAACACCAUGAAUUAUGAAAAUGCGAUGAUUGACACAAAUUUACAUGCACCUAAAUGAGUUGCAAAAUUAACAUAUAGUAUUAGGAAAAAAUCACAUUCUUAGAUAUUAAAAAUCACGAUUGACGGAAAUUUCAAAAACACAUUUCUAAAAAUUUUCAUCUUUCCUAGUUAAAAGAUUGAUUUUGAUUGAACCGUAAAUCUUUCCUAAAUAAUGAAAAUCAUGAAUGAUGGAAAAUGGAUGGUGGAAGUUGACCUUCAACGGAUGGAAAAAUACGCUGUCUCCGGCGGCUGGGCGGGGGCCGAACCCGGGGUAGCCUCAUCUGGGGUUCCGUCUUUUAUGCGAGUUUGAAAUAAGAUCGGCUGCAUUUCAAAAUUCCAACCAACCGAGACGCACCCAGAAAAUUAGAGCUCUGAAAUCUGAGCUUGGGCGGCCGAGCGCCACCAUCAGCUAUCUUCGACGAUGAGGUUUCGGGUGGCGACUGAGGGGAAAAGGGAGCGACGAAUCGCGGUGGAAGGUGGCAGAUCGCGGCUGCGCCCGGUGGGGUGAAUCACCGGUGGAAAUCUGGUGGAGGAGAGGGGAAAAGGGAGCGACGUAUCGCGGUGGAAGGUGGCAGAUCGCGGCUGCGGCCUGUGGGGCGAAUCAUCGGUGGAAAUCUGGUGGAGGAGAGGAGAAGGGAAAUCUGGUGGAGCAAGGUCGAAUCAUUAC